GAACCUCUGGUGUUCCGGUUGUCACGCCAGUGGCACUGCCGGGUAGCUAUGUUCGGAAGCGAUAACCGCUGAAAGCAUCUAAGCGGGAAGCGCGCCUCAAGAUGAGAUCUCCCGGGACACAAGUCCCCUGAAGGAACCAUGAAGACUACGUGGUUGAUAGGUCAGGUGUGUAUCGCAGUAAUGCCGAGCUAACUGAUACUAAUGAUCCGUGCGGCUUGACCAU
rnacentral:rRNA from 1 species